rnacentral:rRNA from 1 species
UCUUUACCACGCGAUAGGUCAGCGAAGCGUGAGCGGGCGCUCCGAAGUAAAGGCCAAACACUUCGGCCUAAGGGGAAUGAGCAACAAAAUGACAAGAUGAGGUGCCCCGGGCACCCCCAUAUAGAAAGAAGGGUCGAAGGUUUUGGGCCUGUAGCUCCCCCCCCCUCGUCGAGUGGUGCUUGUUUGGGGGGUGUGCCGCCAGAAAGCGGGCUUGAAGCUCUCGCCUUACCAACGAGCCGACUGCUGAUGGUUGUUGGUCACGAGUACUACAAAAAAGUGAAGAUGAAUCUUUCUAUUUCACAUGGAGGAGUGUGCAUCUUUAUGUUGGGUGUUCUUCUGCCGUGCGACCCGAUGGCUUAUGUGCGACCUGUGGCCCACGCCUCCUAUUCUAUUUGUUCAGGGCGGGCGGCGUGA